rnacentral:rRNA from 1 species
GUCUUUAUGAAGUUAUAUAAAGUCUAUCCUGCCCACUGAAUUAAGUUUUGAAGGGCCGCGGUAAUUUGACUGUGCAAAGGUAGCAUAAUCAUUAGUUUUUUAAUUGAAGGCUUGUAUGAAUGGUUGGACAAGAAUUAAACUGUCUCUUUUUUUAAAUUUGAAUUUUACUUUUAAGUGAGAAGGCUUAAAUAAACUUAAGGGACGAUAAGACCCUAUAAAUCUUUAUAAUAUUAGUUUUUAUUAGUUUAAUAUAUAGUUAAAAUUUACGAAUAAAAAUUUAAUUAUUUUACUGGGGCGGUAAUAAUAUAAGAAAUAACUGUUUAAAAGUAUUACAAGUUAAUUGAUGAGUUAAAGUGCUUUUUUAAAAAUAAAUAGUUUAAGUUACUUUAGGGAUAACAGCAUAAUUUUUUUUGAGAGUUCUUAUCGAAAAAAAAGUUUGUGACCUCGAUGUUGAAUUAAAAUUUCUUUGUGGUGUAGCAGUUACAAAAGAUAGUCUGUUCGACUAUUAAAUUUUUACAUGAUUUGAGUUCAGACCGGCGUAAG